rnacentral:rRNA from 1 species
AGUGAACGCUGGCGAUAGGCCUAACACAUGCAAGUCGAACGGCAGCACAGUAAGAGCUUGCUCUUACGGGUGGCGAGUGGCGGACGGGUGAGGAAUACAUCGGAAUCUACUUUUUCGUGGGGGAUAACGUAGGGAAACUUACGCUAAUACCGCAUACGACCUACGGGUGAAAGCAGGGGAUCUUCGGACCUUGCGCGAUUGAAUGAGCCGAUGUCGGAUUAGCUAGUUGGCGGGGUAAAGGCCCACCAAGGCGACGAUCCGUAGCUGGUCUGAGAGGAUGAUCAGCCACACUGGAACUGAGACACGGUCCAGACUCCUACGGGAGGCAGCAGUGGGGAAUAUUGGACAAUGGGCGCAAGCCUGAUCCAGCCAUACCGCGUGGGUGAAGAAGGCCUUCGGGUUGUAAAGCCCUUUUGUUGGGAAAGAAAAGCAGCAGGUUAAUACCCCGCUGUUCUGACGGUACCCAAAGAAUAGGCACCGGCUAACUUCGUG